rnacentral:rRNA from 1 species
GACGAACGCUGGCGGCGUGCCUAAUACAUGCAAGUAGGACGCACAGUCUAUACCGUAGCUUGCUACACCAUAGGCUGUGAGUUGCGAACGGGUGAGUAACGCGUAGGUAACCUGCCUAUUAGAGGGGGAUAACUAUUGGAAACGAUAGCUAAUACCGCAUAACAGUAUGUAACACAUGUUAGAUGCUUGAAAGAUGCAAUUGCAUCGCUAGUAGAUGGACCUGCGUUGUAUUAGCUAGUAGGUAGGGUAAUGGCCUACCUAGGCGACGAUACAUAGCCGACCUGAGAGGGUGGUCGGCCACACUGGGACUGAGACACGGCCCAGACUCCUACGGGGGGCAGCAGUAGGGAAUCUUCGGCAAUGGGGGGAACCCUGACCGAGCAACGCCGCGUGAGUGAAGGAGGUUUUCGGAUCGUAAAGCUCUGUUGUUAAGGAAGAACGAGUGUGAGAAUGGAAAGUUCAUACUGUGACGGUACUUAACCAGAAAGGGACGGCUAACUACGUG